UGAGUACGAGCUGCUACGGCAGCGAAGUGGGUGAUGUCAUGCUUCCAAGAAAAGCCCUAUACCCGUUAAGGCAUGAUGGCCUGUACCCGAAACCGACACAGGUGGGGUGGUAGGGAAUACCGAGGGGCGCGAGGUAACUCUCUCUAAGGAACUCGGCAAAAUGGCCCCGUAACUUCGGGAGAAGGGGUGCCACCGCAAGGUGGUCGCAGUGAAGAGGCCCAGGCGACUGUUUACCAAAAACACAGGUCUCCGCUAAGUCGCAAGACGAUGUAUGGGGGCUGACGCCUGCCCAGUGCCGGAAGGUUAAGGAAGCUGGUCAGCGUAAGCGAAGCUAGCGACUGAAGCCCCGGUGAACGGCGGCCGUAACGAUAACGGUCCUAAGGUAGCGAAAUUCCUUGUCGGGUAAGUUCCGACCCGCACGAAAGGCGUAACGAUCUGGGCGCUGUCUCGGAGAGAGGCUCGGCGAAAUAGAAUUGUCUGUGAAGAUGCGGACUACGUGCACCCGGACAGAAAGACCCUAUGAAGCUUUACUGUAGCUUGGUAUUGUGCUCGGGCUCGGAAUGCGCAGGAUAGGUGGGAGGCUAUGAACCAUUGCUUGCGGGUGAUGGUGAGCCACUGGUGAGAUACCACUCUUUUUCCGAGCUAGAGUUCUAACAGCCACCCGUUAUCCGGGGGCUGGACAGUAUCAGGUGGGCAGUUUGACUGGGGCGGUCGCCUCCUAAAAGGUAACGGAGGCGCGCAAAGGUUUGCUCAGGCUGGUUGGAAAUCAGCCGACGAGUGUAAAAGCAGAAGCAAGCUUGACUGUGAGACCUACAAGUCGAACAGGGAGGAAACUCGGCUUUAGUAAUCCGACGGUUCUGCGUGGAAGGGCCGUCGCUCAACGGAUAAAAGUUACUCUAAGGAUAACAGGCUGAUCUCCCCCAAGAGUUCACAUCGACGGGGAGGUUUGGCACCUCGAUGUCGGCUCAUCGCAACCUGGGGCUGAAGUCGGUCCCAAGGGUUGGGCUGUUCGCCCAUUAAAGCGGUACGCGAGCUGGGUUCAGAACGUCGUGAGACAGUUCGGUCCAUAUCCGGUGCAUGCGCAGGAAUAUUGAGAGGAUUUCUCCCUAGUACGAGAGGACCGGGAGGAACGCACCUCUGGUGCACCAGUUAUCGUGCCAACGGUAAACGCUGGGUAGCCAUGUGCGGAGAGGAUAACCGCUGAAAGCAUCUAAGUGGGAAGCCCACCUCAAGAUGAGUAUUCCCAUGGGGUAACCCAGUAAGGUCACGGGAAGAACACCCGUUGAUAGGCUCUACGUGGAAGCGCAGUAAUGUGUGAAGCGGAGGAGUACUAAUAGACCGAGGGCUUGACC
rnacentral:rRNA from 1 species